ACUGACUGCUAUCGGAUUGGUACUAAGCCAUGCGAGUCAUUGUAGCAAUACAAGGCGGACGGCUCAGUAACACGUAGUCAACCUAACUCGUGGACGUGGAUAACCUCGGGAAACUGAGAAUAAACCACGAUAGAUCAUAGUGCCUGGAAUGGCUUAUGGUCCAAACAGUUUACUGCCAUGGGAUGGGACUGCGGCCUAUCAGCUUGUUGGUGAGGUAAUGGCCCACCAAGGCGAUUACAGGUACGGGCUCUGAGAGGAGAAGCCCGGAGAUGGGUACUGAGACACGGACCCAGGCCCUAUGGGGCGCAGCAGGCGAGAAACCUUAGCAAUGUGCGAAAGCACGACUGGGUCAGUCCGAGUGAUUCCUGAUAAAGGAGUCUUUUGCCUGUCCUAAAAGCACAGGUGAAUAAGGGGUGGGCAAGUCUGGUGUCAGCCGCCGCGGUAAUACCAGCACCUCGAGUGGUCAGGACGUUUAUUGGGCCUAAAGCAUCCGUAGCCGGCUCUGCAAGUCUUCGGUUAAAUCCACCUGCUCAACAGAUGGGCCGCUGGAGAUACUACAGAGCUAGGGAGUGGGAGAGGCAGACGGUAUUCAGUGGGUAGGGGUAAAAUCCUCUGAUCCAUUGAGGACCACCAGUGGCGAAGGCGGUCUGCCAGAACACGUUCGACGGUGAGGGAUGAAAGCUGGGGGAGCAAACCGGAUUAGAUACCCGGGUAGUCCCAGCUGUAAACGAUGCAAACUCGGUGAUGCAUUGGCUUAUGGCCAAUGCAGUGCCGCAGGGAAGCCGUUAAGUUUGCCGCCUGGGAAGUACGGACGCAAGUCUGAAACUUAA
rnacentral:rRNA from 1 species